GAACUCAUUCUCCUGGAGACUGAAGUGUUUGUCAGCAGAUGAGGAUCUCCAAGGGCAGUACGGGGAAACCCGGAUGCUCAGGCUCACGGAUCCAAGGCCAGUUUGCUCAACCCCAAAUGGUUUUCAGCCAGGACGGUUGGAGAAGCUCCACUAACAGUUGUUCCCGGGUAUUGUGCCUGGCUGCAGAGAGCCCCAGAGGAGGUCUUGGGGGUCAACCAGUACACCCCGUGGCCCUGGAGAAGGAACCUGCCUAGGCUGUCGGCAAUCGGGGUGUGGACUGUCAGUGUAUCUAUGCCAUUCUUCUCUGAAAAGCAGAGUUAGUGGAUUGAGUCAUCACAGACGGUCGAUUUUCCCAGAGGCGUGAGCGUGCGGCGAUGUAGCUGUGGUCCUCAGCCGUAGAUGGAGGGCACGGUCAGGAGCACAAACCUUCAACAUCACUAGCACAGCCGUCCUCCACCGAGGAGCACCAUCUGAUCCCUCAUGCCAUGGAGGGCUGUGGUGGAGAUUCCCGCCACUAGAAACCCCUCAAGGAUCCGCUAGCC